AGAAGUAUAAAUACCAACUAUACAUUGAGUAGAUACAGGGCCUCUGUCUACCAUGUAUAGAGAUCAUGUGUAUGUGUGUAUAUCUGUGCAUGGUAUAACACAUACUAUGUGUACAUGUAUGUAUCUUGCAGGAUCGUAGCGCUUUAACUGGAAACGGUUAAGGUUAGCUACACGCCUGCAUAUAAUUUACAGAAAGUAUGUACCUUGCCUAUGACUGGAAACAGUUAUAUCGUAAUCUACAUAUUAGUAUGGAUAUUAUAUUGUUCCUUGCGUGUUAUGUGGUAAAACACAUAUCAUUGCCGGUCAGAGAUAUAUAUGUAUGUUACAUAGUAUGGUUUAUCAAUUUUUGUACUUAGUUUUACACACAUUUCCCAUGAUCUAGAUAUUCUAUUCCUUUUCGUGGAAGUAUGUAUAUACAACCUCGUAAGGAGAUGCAUCAAUGAUGUGAUAUCUUGAUAUCUGUAUGCUACUACAGCUAGUAAGCGGCAGAGCAGCAGUUGAUCUGACUGUCAAGCAAAUCACUGGCAGGGACCCUGAGAGAACCCGUCAAUCUGCCGACGUUAAAGUCGUACAGCAGAUUAGUAAGACGCGACAUGACCUGUCGAAAAGGUUCGUCUCCUUGAAAGGGGUCUCGUUUGCACUCUAAGGUGAUUUGUCAUCUGUUAGCGAUGCUUCUGUAUUGCAGACACAGACAAGUAUUACGGGGCAAUCAUUGAUUAGCAAAUAUGUUUGAGUCUCUUGACUGUGUAUUAUGUGAACACACACACACACCAAGUGUACUCUUUCCAUAUACCUCAUAAUUUUG
rnacentral:rRNA from 1 species